UGUCUGUGGUGCUUCAGGCACCUGAAAGCUGGUCGGCUGGCAGUUGUAUCUGCCCGUUGAUUUUGAAGAUGGGUCUUUUCUCUGUAAACAAGAAUACAGCAUUUAUAAAUAACAGCAGGAAAGAGGAAGGAGGGGAAAGGAAGAGAAGUCAGUCUGCAAAGGAUGUGAUUGAGCUCAGCAAAUGGCAGCCCAACCAAGGACCACAUUUUCCAGCCUCCCUUGCAGCUAGACUCCACCUGAAACAUCAGCUCUUUCUGGAUCUCAAGCCUGCCAGCUUCAGACUGGAACUUACACCGUUGGCUUUCCUGGUUCUCAGGCAUUCAGACUCAGACUGGAACUAAACCAUCAGCUCCCCUGGGUCUGCAUCUUUCCAGCUCACCCUGCACAUCUUGGGAUUUGCCAGCCUCCCUAACUCCAUAGACACACCAGCCAAUUUUUUAUAAUACAGUUCUCUCUCUCUCUCUCUCUCUCUCUCUCUCUCUCUCUCUCUCUCUCUCCACUCAUACACACAUGCAUCCUAUUGAUUCUGUUUCUCUGGAGAAUCCUAACUAAUCCACUUUCUGAGUGCUAGGGCUUUGUGUAACUACACUGGUCACAUAUCCAUGAAGCUGGCCCUGUUUUUAUUUUCCUCACAUGCCACUACAUAUGAGGGAGGGAGAGAGGAAGGGAGGGAGAGAGAGGGAGAGAGAGAGACUAGUGAAGAAGAAAUUGCUUUUGUUUUAAUGAACUACUUACUAAUGUCUUGCUGUCAUCAUAAAGUACAAAUACAUUUUUUAUAUAUAACAAUAAAAGUACAGACCCCAUAAGACAGCUUACAAAUUCUAGUGACCAACAAUCAUAUAUUGAAACCUAUUGUUUUAGAAAAAUAUUAAUUUCAUAGACAGAAGGGGGAAGCGUCAGAAAUAAUAACUGAACCAGUACCUGUAUGUUAGUCCAACCCUCCUCCCUGGGCACAAUCUGUGGUGCAUUUUGAACUGUGGGACUGCAAGGCCUUAUCCAAAACCCUGGGGCCAGAUGUUAUCUUGGAUUUUUUAUAAAAGUGCUACAGUGUAAGUAUUUACACCGCCAGCAGACUCUGGGACAGUCCUGAAAUACAUGAACAUUUCUGCAGUAAAACACGUGAAUAUUUAUGCUCGUUGGUCAAAGACUGUAAAUAACCUUCUGUCAUUCCAGGUAAGAUUUUGUUUUCAAUGAGUCCAGGUGAGGUCAGAUUUUGCUGCCAAAUGAUUUACAAAAACUCCGUUUGUAGAGCUUUCUGGAUUUUGGAAAUGCAGGCCAGGUUAGUGGAUCUGUAGUUCCUGUUUCCUUGGUUGGCCUCCCCUGCCAUUCCUAUGCCCAUUCUGAUAGCAGUGAACUUGCGAACAAAAUGAGAGAGGAGAGCUUGCCUGGAGAGCAGCUAGUGAUACAUAGAAAAGGUCGAGAGGAAGGCUUAGGGUUUAAUGUUGUAAUUGCCUUCCACACCUUUUGGCCCAGACACUGAGAGCAACGUGAGCCAACAAAUGAAUCAGAACCAAGGUGCAGGAGACAAAAAUCCCCACGGCCUCUCCUGGAGCAGUUCCCUCCUGCCCCGUAGCACACACACAGAAACUUCCUCCUCAGGCCUCCCACAUGGGAAAAGUCAUCCAGCUCUUUACGGAAUAGUCAUAUAUGCUAACGGAGUUGUCCUUAAACUUAGAGAAAGAGCUUUCAAGAGAUGGUCUCCAACAUCCAGCCACAGGUUAACCAUAUGGAAGCAUGAUCUUAAUACAUAUGUUAGUAUACUAAAUGUAAUUAUAACUGGCUACCUCAUAUUUCCUCAGCAUAUCUCUAGUUACGCUCGCAGUUUAGUCGGAGUCUUAAAAUAUACCUAGGGGUCUUAUGAGCGUUUUAUGGCACGAUCUUGGGAAUUCUCAGACAUGUGGCCAUUGUAUAACAUUGUUCAAGGUCUUCUUUAGGGGAUGUCAUUUUCAAGCAAUUGAAUGUUGCUCCUGUGAAAGGUAAAGGAGGACUUUGCCUACAGGGACCCUUCUGCAUGGUGGUGUCCUCUCAUGCAUCUUGGACUCUCACCUACCCUUGAAGGUCCAAGGCCAAUGCCACCACAUCUACCAAAACCAGGAACACAGUCUUACUAGGUUCCUCCAGGCGAAAGGGAAUUCACUGACAUCUGAGUUCUCGCUGAUUCUGUGCCUUUUAUGUAGCAUCAAUUGCCUUUUACCUUGACACAUUAUAUCCUCUCCUUAAAUAUAACUGUUCUUUCUUGAAGGCACUCAUUUUUACAUCUGCAACUACUUUCAGACUAAGACCUUAAAUGGAAGUAAGUACCUAAUAAUGUUCUUUUUUUGUUUUUAAUCCUCACCUAAGGACAUGCCUUUACUGAUUUUAAAGGGAGAGGAAGAGAGACAAAAACAUCAAUGUGACAAUGAAACAUCAAUUGGUUGCCCCCUGCGCUUGCUCAGGCCAGAGAUCAAAGCCCAAGCUGGGUACGUACCUUGAUCAGGAAUCAAACCCGGUCAAGGGCACAUACUGUGUGGUGUACAGGACAAAUGAUGCUCCAACCAACUGAGCCACACUGGUCCUGGAAAUAAUGUUCUUAAUAAAUCAAUAAUUUUGGAUUUAAUUUUCCUUGUGUGGUAAUUUAAGUUAAAAAUUCCUAGUAGUCUAGUAAUUUGUGCAUUUUUUAGCAGCUGUUCAACAAAUAUGUUAAAUUGUGUAACCAAUUGUGUAUUAAAGAUUUUUCCUCUCUUUGUUACCAAUAUCUUAUUAUGGUAUUGCUUGUUGUUAUGAAUACUUGUACACUCCACUUUAUCAGUAUUUGUUUCCUUAUGAGUACCUUGAGAAAAUAAAUCCUAUCUUACGGAGGAUCUCUGAUGAGUUAUUGGCGAAACUAAAUUAGAAAGAUAGAGUGAACUUAUUAAAAAAGGAAGGAGAUUAUUCAUUA